UGGCAGUCAGAGGCGAUGAAGGGCGUGCUAAUCUGCGAUAAGCGCCGGUAAGGUGAUAUGAACCGUUAUAACCGGCGAUACCCGAAUGGGGAAACCCAGUGUGAUUCGUCACACUAUCAUUAACUGAAUCCAUAGGUUAAUGAGGCGAACCGGGGGAACUGAAACAUCUAAGUACCCCGAGGAAAAGAAAUCAACCGAGAUUCCCCCAGUAGCGGCGAGCGAACGGGGAGGAGCCCAGAGCCUGAAUCAGCAUGUGUGUUAGUGGAAGCGUCUGGAAAGGCGCGCGAUACAGGGUGACAGCCCCGUACACAAAAGCGCAUGUGCUGUGAGCUCGAUGAGUAGGGCGGGACACGUGGUAUCCUGUCUGAAUAUGGGGGGACCAUCCUCCAAGGCUAAAUACUCCUGACUGACCGAUAGUGAACCAGUACCGUGAGGGAAAGGCGAAAAGAACCCCGGCGAGGGGAGUGAAAAAGAACCUGAAACCGUGUACGUACAAGCAGUGGGAGCACAGGUUUACCUGUGUGACUGCGUACCUUUUGUAUAAUGGGUCAGCGACUUAU
rnacentral:rRNA from 1 species